rnacentral:lncRNA from 1 species
GUGACUUGUAAUGGUAAGGAGGGGGAGGGGAGUGCACCGGAGGUGGUGGUGGUGGUGAUUUGUAGUGGUAAUGUGGUGGUAGGGAGUGCACUGGAGGUGGUGGUGGUGGUGACUUGUAGUGAUAUGGUGGUGGUGGUGGGGAGUGCACUGGGGGAGGAGGUGGUGGAGACUUGUAGUGAUAAGGAUGGGGAGGAGAGUGCACAGGAGGUGGCGGUGGUGGUGAUUUGUAAUGAUAAGUUGGUGGUGGUGGCGGUGAAUUGUAAUGGUAAAGAGGAGAGGGGAAAUGGUCGGUAGCUGCGGUUUCUAAUGGCAAGUUUAGGGACACUAAUACCACUACAAGAGUGACCAUAAGAGUGUCCAUUUUGGACCCCUUUGCUAUUCUUACCAUCUUUUUACUACAAAU